rnacentral:piRNA from 1 species
UGCCAAGCUCAGACCUGUAGGAUCAGAGU